rnacentral:rRNA from 1 species
UCUUGUACACCCCGCCCGUCAAGCCAUGGAAGCUGGGGGUACCUGAAGUCGGUGACCGCAAGGAGCUGCCUAGGGUAAAACUGGUAACUAGGGCUAAGUCGUAACAAGGUAGCCGUACCGGAAGG